UACGAAGGGGGCUAGCGUUGUUCGGAAUCACUGGGCGUAAAGCGCACGUAGGCGGAUGUGCCAGUCAGGGGUGAAAUCCCGGGGCUCAACCUCGGAACUGCCUUUGAUACUGCAAAUCUCGAGUCCGGAAGAGGUGAGUGGAAUUCCUAGUGUAGAGGUGAAAUUCGUAGAUAUUAGGAAGAACACCAGUGGCGAAGGCGGCUCACUGGUCCGGUACUGACGCUGAGGUGCGAAAGCGUGGGGAGCAAACAGG
rnacentral:rRNA from 1 species